rnacentral:tRNA from 1 species
GGAACACCUCCUUUCUAGAGACAAAAAAGAAAAUAGACCCUUACUCUCGCUGUUAAUUCAAAAAAAAAGACUUAAAAUACAGAGUCUCGUAGCUCAGCUGGUUAGAGUACUACACUGAUAAUGUAGGGGUCGGCAGUUCGAGUCUGCCCGGGACUACAAACAAAUUUGAAAAUUGAUUAAUUUGAAAAUUUAAAAAAAUUAAGUUUAAAAGGAAAUUCUAGAAGCGAAUUUUGAAUUAAAAAUUUUAAAUCAUGAAUUUGAAAAAUAAUUCAUUAUAUAUAAAUCAACAUUCAAAAUAGAAAAAGAAUGGGGGAUUAGCUCAGCUGGCUAGAGCGCCUGCCUUGCACGCAGGAGGUCAUCGGUUCGACUCCGAUAUUCUCCACUAUUCGAGUGAAUAGUAAAAAGUAAAAAGUGAAAAGUUUUGACUAAUCACUAUUUACUAAUCACUUAUCACUAGAAAAAAGUUCAUUGACAUAUUGAGAUAAACAUACAAACAAGUAGAAAGAACACUUUAGUAAUUAGUACAGAGUGAAUAGUAAUUAGUCUUAGGGCUAGUCACUAAUUACUAAGAACUAAUCACUAAAAAAAGAAAACAAUAAGCAAAAUAAGGGCGUAUGGGGGAUGCC